GCUCUCGUAGCUUAAAUUUAAAGCCUAAUGCUGAAGAUAUUAAGAUGGAGCCUAAAACCUUCCGAAAGCA
rnacentral:tRNA from 1 species